UACAGGGGGUGCAAACGUUGCUCGGAAUUAUUGGGCGUAAAGCGCGCGUAGGCGGCUACUUAAGUCGGAUGUGAAAGCCCUUGGCUCAACUGAGGAAGUGCACCCGAAACUGAGUGGCUUGAGUACGAAAGAGGGUCGCGGAAUUCCCGGUGUAGAGGUGAAAUUCGUAGAUAUCGGGAGGAACACCGGUGGCGAAGGCGGCGACCUGGGUCGAUACUGACGCUGAUGCGCGAAAGCGUGGGAGCAACAGG
rnacentral:rRNA from 1 species